CUUUGAAGUCCGUUGCAUUUGUGAUUUUUCUUUGAUCAUUGCUGUGGAAAUGACUGAGAUGUUUUUCUCCUAGGUUUGUGUGCACACGGGUGUAAGAGGACCGAGAACUUCAGUAAAGGUGAAACAUCUGACCUUAUCUUGACUUGGUUAGGAUGAAAGUAACACUAAAUAGGACCAAAUUAUGUUCUAACUACCUUGAGAGACUAAUGAGGAGGGAGUACUAUUAUUUUUCUACUUCUAUCAAUGCGUUCAAUACAGUAUGAGAUGGCUGGAAGAGCUCAGUGAAGUGCAGGGAUCUAAACAUGCCAGGGAGUACCUUAGGUACUGCUUCUGUCACUGGGUUUCCAGUGGUGGCACGUGAUACCUAAUAGCUCAAAAGGAUAAAAGGUCCCUGGAAAAGAAGACAAAGAACCCAUUCUUUUCCCACCGUCUCUGAGCAGAAAGGUCACAAAAAAGGGAAAACUUGUGUUUUCCAGGGAAGGCCCAGCCACACCACAUCCCCCAGUUCCCAGAGCAUCCCAGAAGUGCUCUGUGCCCUGAGCCAGGAGGGAGAAUCGACUCCCUGCUGAUAAAAAUUGACCUAAGGAGAUCUCUGAGCCAUCACAUACAGCUCUUGCAAUAGCAAUUCAAAGCUGAGGGGUGACCAGCCAGGGCACCGAUGCGAGGAAUGACGCGGAAAGUCCUGAAGAAUAAAGUAAUGGCAUUUCUUAUUUUUAUUAGAUCAAUCUGGGGCGUACGAGCUCUCAAACCCAGCUUAGGAUCAUCUUCUCUGAAAAGGACUGAGAGGGAACAGGAAAGGCUGGAGCUCAGGAAAACGAGGCAGGUCUGGAAGAAAGAAAGAAAUGGUCCAUACGAGGCAGAUGUUUUUGGCUGCUCCUUCUGUGCUGUCUUUUCCUCUGCGAGCAGCCGACCACGUGGCUUCAUUCACUGA
rnacentral:lncRNA from 1 species